GUGACCGUGGCGGUGGAGGAGGAGGUAGCCAACACUGUGUUUUAUAUAUAUAUAUAUAUUUUUAAUUGGGGUAGCCCCCAAAAUAUUGGGACAUAUAAACAAGGCAACUCUGUUCUGCAAAGUAGCUGUUGACAUUAUAGUUGCGCAGGCUACUCUGCAGAACAGAGUUGUCUUUUUUUGUUGACUCUAGAGAACCUCGGGCCAAUCGCACAUCCCCGUGAUGGCGACUUUGCAUUCGGAUGUCAUCCAUAUCAACUUUUGAUGCCAGUUUCUCCGCCUACCAUGGUGACCAUGGGUAACGGGGAAUCAGGGUUCCAUUCCAUACAGGGACCCUGAGAAACGGCUACCACAUGCAAGGAAGGCA